GCAGUCCAUGUUUAGUGUGUGAAGGGCUGAGCAUAAACCAUGUUCAACUGGAACCCGGAAAAGUAAUGGGCCCAGUGGAAUCUCAUGAAAUGAGUCAGAUGGCCUCCUCGCGCUUGUAUGCAUACGAUAUCCCCUCUUUUUGAUAUAAAACUGCUGAUGAAAGCCUAAGAGCUUGAACAAGUGUUUGAUUUUUGCUCCGACUCAUUUUCCUCUACAUUUUCUCCAUCCUUUUCUUUUUGUUUUUGCCUCCUGCCCUACCGCGAUCCUCCAAUGCAGUUGAAUACACACCAGCAUCAGCUCUAUUUGUUGUUGUAGAGCUAAUUUUUUUUAUGACUCCAUGACUCUAUGGUCCUCGAUAUAUCCCAAUUCAUGCCUCUGAUAUACCAGCUACGUCUCUAAGGGAACAGGUCAGGCUCACCUCCUUACAUGGAGCCUGUGGAGGAUAUUCAAUGUGGUGCUCGCCGAGCAUUGGCUGCAGUGGUUGGUUAUGAGGGACGACGGUGUCGAACGCAUUUUGUUCCUUGGACGAAGCACCCCCUGGAUGGGAGUAUAUUCUUUCCUUUUUGUACUCAGGAGGUAUAGCCGAUGACCUUCUCGCCAUCUGGGCGCGAGGAUCAGAAUAUUCGGUAGGACAUACCGGAUGAAAUGGGUUGGGUCAUUUCUUUGCGGUCAGGGAUGGAAAUUCAGUCAUGGUAUGAGAUAUAUACUGAAAGAGAACUAAAAAGCUGACUGAACUGGAAAGUGCGGGGGAGGGAGAGAGAGAAUGGAAUAAAAUAAGGGGGGGGGGGGAAUAUACAUGAGUAUAUGAGGAAACUGAAAAUGACGAUGUCCCUGUGGGCAUAUUUCGUGGAAAGACAUGUCAUACUAACCGAGACACAUAAUGGCGUUUUGCCUACAUUAAUGAUAUAAGAACAGACAUGCUGAGGCUUCCCUCCAUGAUUCCCUCCGUUAUCCACUUAUGCAAUCCAGUACCAUAUCUUCUCGAUAAGGUUUCGGGGGUUAUCUGCGGGCCACUCGACAGCAUCAAGAGCAGCUUUUCCCGACCAAAUAUCGGCCUCUGCGGGAUCGAUGAACUUGGUCCUUUUAAAGAUUCUCCAGAACAAAUAUAGUCCGAAAUAGAUUGGGACGCCAAUGUAUGCGGUGAAAAAGCCCUGGAACUUGAACUUGGGGGCAAAGGAGUCGAAGCCGUUGAAAACUAUGAUUAUGGAGAAGAAGACGAGCGCAAAGUAUGCGGGAUAUGGUUGGAAGGGGGCUCGGAAAACCAUUGUAUUGCGGUCGACUCCCUGUGCAUUGAUUGCAUGGUGGAAUUUAAUGCAGGCAAUACAGAUGGAAACCCAGGUGAACAACGAGGCGAUGGUGGUCAGGUUCUGGAACCAGAUGAAAACCGUGUUGGCGCCGGCGCUGGUGGACAUGAAUGUGAGGAGCCCGACGGAUCCCGUGAUUAAAACACAGUAAAUCGGCACACCCCUAGGUGAUGAAAGAAUCAGUCAGAAAACCCUGACAACAAACUUACGGAUGUUCAAAUGUUUACUCACAGUUUGGUGCAUUUCAAAAGGAACCUCGGUGCUUGGCCGUUCUGGGCUAGGGCAUACAGAUAGCGACUACCAGUAUACAAGAAUGCAUUACCCGAGGAAGAAGCGGAGGUCAAAAUGACGGCGUUGAUGAUGGAAGGGAGAACCGGAAUGCCCGCACGUUGGACGGCGAUAACCCAUGGGGAGGCUGCACCAGUGCUCGAUUUGGAUGAAUUUUGAGCAUUCAGCAGCAUUUUAUCGUCGUAAGGCACCAACAUUCCAAUGGCGAGAGAUCCCAGCACAUAAAAGGUAAUGAUACGCCAAAAUACUCUUCGUAUAGCCUUGGGGAUGUUUCGUCGCGGGUUUGCUGCCUCACCAGCUGCAGAAGCAACCAUUUCUACACCACCAAAUGAGAAUGCAGCAUUCACAAGCGUCGAGAAAAACCCAAGGAAUCGCCCUUCAGCGCCGGUAGAGACAUACUCUCUCAUCGCACCAGGAUUCUUCCAGUAACGGAAGCCUCGACGGUCAUGGUCCGGACCACCGCCGAGAUCAAUAAUAAGAGACAGGAUGAGAAGGCCGACAAUGGUGACAAUCUUGACACUGGCGAAUAUGAACUCUGCCUCACCAUAGAUAGCUACGGCGAAGACAUUCAGGAACAUGAUAAGAACCCAAAUUAAAGCGAUCCAUGCUCCGACAUUAAUGCCCUCUGCACCUGGCCAGUAUUCAAUUAGGAGGGCAGCGGCAGCAAUUUCGACACAAAUAGUGAUUGCGCAUUGGUACCAAGUGUUCCAGCCGACAGCGAAUCCCAUGGCUUCAUCAACGUAACGUCCGCAGAAGUGAGGAAUCGCGCCAGGAAGUGGAAGCCAAGUUGCCAUUUCACCAAGACACAUCAUCAUUCCGAAGAUCGCAACACCGGUGAGGGAGUAGCCAAGCAGAAUACUCAGCGGGCCACCUUGGGUGUGGGCGCGACCAAUACCCAAAAAGAGACCCGUGCCGAUAGAUCCUCCCAGAGCAAUAAAUUGGAUGUGUCGAGAUUUCAGACUGUUAGGUUUGUCAGUAGUUUGUUCCAGGAAUACUGGUCCCGUACGAUGAACUCUCAAGUGAGAGAAACUUACCCACGAGUAACAUAACCAUAGCGUUCGGCAGUCUCAGCAUCGCCAUAGAGGCCAGCGGCUUCGUUGAACUGCAGUUGCUUGGAGUCGACUUCCUUCGUGACAUCGUCAUAAGAAGGAGCUCCUCCAGUUACCUCCGCCUUCGACAUGGCGGGCAGCUAUUGCGAGUAAAAUCACCCAGUGCAACAAAAGGGGGUGUUGCGAUGGUCUGACGGUUAGCUUGGAGACGUUUCACAAUCGCCAGUCUCGGGACCGUUUGCGUUUGGCUUUCUGGGGGCAGAGGUCUUAAUAAGGGAAGAAGCGAGGGAUCACCACCAGUUCAGAAGAGAGAGAAAAAUAGGGAGAUGGGAGAGUUCAAAUAAGCCACCGCCGAGACUGCGGAAGGGAUGGUUUCUUUGGUACCCACACCAACCCUCCAGAGGUGUGCUGGAAAUAAGACGACACCGCAGUUGACCUUGAGCCCUGCGCAAUUACCGCUCUGAUCGUUGCGGGACCAUUAAACGUGUCGCAUUUACCCUUGCUCCCUCAAACCUAAUUGGAUCAUUUCCGUUUUUGGUUACUUGCCACGGCUCAACAAUGAUACGCGCAGAUCGUCACACACUCGCAUUUGAAACACGAUAGACGACAAGUCCAGUAUUUGGGGUGAAUGGAAACAAGUGAGCAUUCCCGGCAGGACUGGGCACUUUUUCUCGCCUUGCUUUCCAGUUGAGCAAUUAUCGUUGCCAUGGCCAAAAUUCCAAAUUAUUAUGAUUUAUUUUCUUUCUGUUCCUUGAUUCCAGUUGCUGGAGUUCGGAUUUGGCAGAUCUCGUUUCUUUGCUUUUUCUCCGAGUGGUCAAGCGGACAGCACGUCUAUUAGCUUUGCUCGGUAAAAAGGGCAGGUAGUCAGAACUCUGAGCGCAGGAAUGUAACAUCCAUACUUCAAGCCCCCUGUAUUUCGGCUCUGUGUCAGGGAGCGAAUUUCUGAAAGCUUGGGCCCUUGGACUCCAUUGCUACCUUUCAGCCUGUAUGCCCAAGUACGGCUGACGAAUGAGGAUUAUGGUUAGAUGGGGACGAUAUUUCCAAGGAUGCAUGCAAUAUUGCACACACCAACGCUCGCACAUUGGACUAGAUAUGAUCGGCUGGGGUUGUCAGAACUAGAACGAAGCACUGAUUGCGGGAAAUUUUUCGACAAAAGGAAGGUCCCUCUUCCUAACCGAUAACGGAUAGAUGGAUGAGCGGCUUGACAGGACAUCGCGCAAGGGUGUCUGGAUGUCUCAAUCACAAGCUCAUUUUUCUAGAAGCCAGCAAAACUGUGUUUCCUGUGUCCUGCUCGCCACGAGCAUCACCUGCUGCAGAUACUGUGCUUCUUGCCACUGUGAUUGUAGACCUACGUUUUUGAUCCUGAAGUUGAGCGCGCGGUGUGGCGGCGCUCUUGGCAAUCGAGCUAAA
rnacentral:sRNA from 1 species